rnacentral:rRNA from 1 species
AUUGAACGCUGGCGGCAGGCCUAACACAUGCAAGUCGAGCGAGCGGCGGACGGGUGUGUAAUGUCUGGGAAACUGCCUGAUGGAGGGGGAUAACUACUGGAAACGGUAGCUAAUACCGCAUACCAUCAGAUGUGCCCAGAUGGGAUUAGCUAGUAGGUGGGGCAACGGCCCACCUGGGCGACGAUCCCUAGCUGGUCUGAGAGGAUGACCAGCCACACUGGAACUGAGACUCGGUCAGGACUCCUACGGGAGGAAGCAGUGGGUAAUAGUGCACAAUGGGCGCAAGCCUGAUGCCGCCAUGCCGCGGGUGUGAAGAGGGCCUUCGGGUUUUAAAGCACUUUCAGCGGGGAGGCGUUACCCGCAGAAGAAGCACCGGCUAACUCCGUGCCAGCAGCCGCGGUAAUAC